rnacentral:rRNA from 1 species
UGGGGAAUAUUGCACAAUGGGCGCAAGCCUGAUGCAGCCAUGCCGCGUGUGUGAAGAAGGCCUUCGGGUUGUAAAGCACUUUCAGCGAGGAGGAAGGCAGUCGUGUUAAUAGCACGAUUGAUUGACGUUACUCGCAGAAGAAGCACCGGCUAACUCCGUGCCAGCAGCCGCGGUAAUACGGAGGGUGCAAGCGUUAAUCGGAAUUACUGGGCGUAAAGCGCACGCAGGCGGUUUGUUAAGUCAGAUGUGAAAUCCCCGCGCUUAACGUGGGAACUGCAUUUGAAACUGGCAAGCUAGAGUCUUGUAGAGGGGGGUAGAAUUCCAGGUGUAGCGGUGAAAUGCGUAGAGAUCUGGAGGAAUACCGGUGGCGAAGGCGGCCCCCUGGACAAAGACUGACGCUCAGGUGCGAAAGCGUGGGGAGCAAACA